UGUUUAAUUGCUCUAAUCAAGUAAAUAAAACCCUUCACAGCUGACCUCGGUGUUUUCGCAGAUUUUGUGAUAUUACACAAUGGAUGGAGACUUAGAACAAAAGCACAAGUGCAGGUUCAGCCAUUCUGAAAUAAAACCUGUGUAUAUGCAGAGCCUCUGAUGAUAUAAAGAAAAUUCCAGCUGAGACAAUCUUCCACUUAUUUGUUUCAUGAUCAUAUGAACAAGCAGAGAAUGUCCUAAGCUUUGUUCCCAGUACCCAGGCUGACAAGCUGUCUGGAGUCAGAAUAACCCUGGCCUCAUACUUCUUCCUACAGUCUCCUACUGAGUGUAAAAUAUGGCUGUCUUGCAGUUUGAAUAAGGCUUUUAAUAUGCUAUGGGAUGUCACGGUCCACAGAAGUGGAAUACAGUGUUCUGCUUGCUGUGAAAUAGAAAAAAGCUAACCAAACUGGUUCCUUCCUCCUGAGUACAUAGUGACUGGUUUGAAGUUCAGUCACUGAGACUAAAAAUAUCAGCUUGAUCACAAAGGAAAGAAAAACAUUCGACAGAUGGAUUUCGUCUUCCUUCAGCAUGAACAUCUAUUUGCCACUAAAAGUUUGGUUACAACGUUGAAGCCAAAUAAUGUGAUCUCUUCUCAAUCCAUCAAGAACAGUCUGUGGCUUAAGGUGGAUGCUAUUUCAGUGCUCUCAUAGAAAGCAAGCUAUUUGGAAGGUUGUACACGGCUGGGGUAAAAGAAAUGUUUAUUUAAGAAUAUAAAGAGAAGCAACUCUUAAGAGUGGGCUUUUGUUCCACUGUAGGGCUGUGCUCACCUGAGCUGAGGUGCUGACUCUGUCCUCACACCCGCACAAAUGGGCACAGAUUGCUCUAAUGAGAACAGGCAGUGCUUGGUGUGAUGGUGCAAAUGGUGGUGGUUAUAGGAGAAGUGUCAGGAACAGCAAACAAUUGGGUGGCAUCAAACAUCGCUAGAGUUGCUAAGUUUCUUACAGGUUUCUCACCACCUUUUUACCUCCUCGUCUUCCAGAUAAGUUGCAAUUAAGACCUACCUGUGGUCAUGACCAUUAUCUGAUAUGAGAUGUCAUCAGCAAAAUAAACACACAUUGCUUUGUGUCAAACUUUUCUCAGUGAUCAGGAAAGUCCAUGGGGAAGGUGUAUAUCAGCGCUGAGGUAUGCUGAGGUGUGACAGCUAAAGGACACUUUCUGGAAAUCUUUGCUUCUUCCUCACAGCCUGUACCAAGGAGGACCCUGCCAUGGCCCUGAUUCUGAGGAUUACGAGUGCAUUUCAUCAUUUUAUGACUGAAACCAGCACAGAGCUGUGUUUAUUUUCAAGCUCUACAGAGUGCUGUUUUACUGUGUUGGACUCAACCAAGGCUACUGUCCAAUUUUAAUAGAUGUAUUUUCCACAGGAAAUUAAUGUAUUGUUUCCCCAAAGCUAUUUCAGUCAGCAAACCUCGCUGCAGGCUGCCUGAGCUGAACGUUACUUCAGCUGGCCAAACAAAUCAGGUGCUCUCAGACAGUCCUCUGCCUAGUUUUGGCCAAGUGAGCUGUGACAGUCCGAGGGCUACCACCGGGAGCUGAACAACCCUACGUAUUUUUCACAUGGAAAACCAUGUACGGAGAGGUUCCUAAUUGCUGUGUUAGUUCUUUGGCAAUCGGUACUGUGUGGAGUCACCAUCACUAGAAUAUUUAGGGGAGGAAUACCAGCACUGUACCAGCCUGCAGCAGCUGUACCAUGUUGCUGAAAGACCAGAACACAUAUUCUCCAGGCCUAGAAGCAAGGGAUUAUAGAGGUACUUUCAGAAGGUACCCAUGUGACUGAGAAGUGUAUGCACCAUUUUUAAAAAGCCCCUUGCUGAGAGAUGAUGGGCUGGGUAGGGCCUGCAGAGAAAUCAAAUGGACGUUUUCAAAAACUGUACCCCUUAUUUUAAAAGAAAGGAAAACGUGAGGCAAUCGCAGCUGAUUCAGCAUCCGGCAGUCUCAGCCAAGUCAUAUUUUACCUCUUCCCUUCCCUCCCCGCACAAAACUUCCAGGAAAACCUGCAAAGAAAAGGCAUAUGUGGGUAGGAGGAGACCUGCUUUUAAUUUCUGUACCUCCUAUUCAACACAAUGCCACACAAUGUACAGGAUGCGAAUAUCCCAAGACACCUCAUACAAUACAAGUAACAAAAGCACACACACAUGCACAAGAAAGGGGGAGAAGCAAGCAUGGCAGAGUUACAAAGCAAAGUGCAGAUCUCCGGGUAUCGUACAUUAUAACCAAAUUAUUUUCUAAAAAAAUGCUUUGAUCAGAGAUCAUCCAAAUGGUGAGACCUACCACUAAAUUCCCAGACUUUCAAAAUCUUUGUACUUUACUACUUGAGCUUUCAGUGUAUUGGCCCUGAGACUUUUCAGAGUCCUAGAUCUGCUUUUCCCAAAGCUAACUGUUAGUGAUAUUGACCUGGAGUGAGUUGAGUGGGGAUCUUCAUAGCUCUGUACAUCCACUUAACCUGAUUUUUUUCUUUCUAAUUUAAUGUCUGAGGUAAUGUAAGGUCCUGAAU
ensembl:lncRNA